rfam:Myotis davidii contig114574, whole genome shotgun sequence.
GAUGGUUCUUGGGUGACACACCCAGGAAUCGGGCUCCCUCCUCUCUGGUUCCGGGUGCAUCACCUGAGAACCGCA